rnacentral:lncRNA from 15 species
AGUUAAGCUGCUGGCUUUAGUCUAAUGUUAAACAUAUGAGAGUGGUAUCAAUAUUCUCCUCUACCUCUAAAAGCUUAUUUCCCCAAAUGUCAAACUAUACUAUGUUAUCUCUUUCUGAGCAGGGCUAUAAUUAUGUUUUGAGCAUAAUCAGAAAUGAGCUGUUAUUUAACUCUUUCAGAACCACACAUAAUAGUAUAAAUGGGCUUGUGAUAAAUGUUUGUUCUGUUGGUUUAGUUCCAGUUUCUUCUCCAGCAUCCUCCGAUGGUGGUGUCACUGGAGGUGUUGCUGCAGCAGUUUUCGUCGUUGUGGCAGCUUUCAUCACUGGAUACUUUAUCUGGCGAAAGAAAUGUCAUGCUGGACAGACCUCCAAUGGACUGUGGACAUGCAAACAUUGAGAGAGAGAGAGAUGGUGGAGUGAUGGGCAGCCACUUGAGCAGCUCA